UGAGCAGCCAGCUGACCUUGCCGGCCAGCCUGUGCCCAAAUGACAAGUCCGUUGUCUGCCAAGUGCAGCACCUCUCCAAAGCCAGCAAGACCGUGGACGUGCCCUGCAAAGGUAAAGGUCAGAGGGCAGGAGUGUCUCCCAUCGAACUGCGAGCCCAGCCUGUCCCUGCACCCACCCGCCCUCGAGGAUCUGCUCCUGGGCUCCAACGCCAGCCUCACGUGCACACUGAGUGGCCUGAAAAAAGCCGAGGGUGCCAGCUUCACCUGGAACCCGACAGGUGGGAAGACCGCCGUCCUGGGGUCGCCCAAGCGUGACUCCUGCGGCUGCUACAGCGUGUCCAGCGUCCUGCCGGGCUGUGCCGAUCCCUGGAACAGCGGACAGAGUUUCUCCUGCUCUGCCACCCACCCCGACUCCAAGAGCUCACUGACCGCCAGCAUCAAGAAAAACAUAGGGAACACAUUCCGGCCUCAGGUCCACCUGCUGCCGCCGCCGUCGGAGGAGCUGGCCCUCAACGAGCUGGUGACGCUGACGUGCCUGGUGCGGGGAUUCAACCCCAAGGACGUGCUGGUGCGCUGGCUGCAGGGGAAUCAAGAGCUGCCCCGUGAGAAGUAUGUGACCUGGGACCCCCUGCCUGAGCCUGGCCAGAGCGUCUCCACCUUCACUGUGACCAGCGUGCUACGCGUGGACGCCGAGGUCUGGAAGCAGGGGGACAACUUCUCCUGCAUGGUGGGCCACGAGGCCCUGCCCCUGGCCUUCACCCAGAAGACCAUCGACCGCCUGGCGGGUAAACCCACCCACGUGAACGUGUCCGUGGUCAUGUCAGAGGUGGAUGGCGUCUGCUACUGAGCGGCCCACCCCAGCCCUUGAAUAAACUCCAUGCUCGCCUGAAGCAGCUCUGCA